rnacentral:rRNA from 1 species
UACGUAGGGGUGCGAGCGUUUGUCCGGAAUUAUUGGGCGUAAAGGGCUCGUAGGCGGUUUGUCGCGUCGGGAGUGAAAACCAGGUGCUUAACACCUGGCUUGCUUUCGAUACGGGCAGACUAGAGGUAUUCAGGGGAGGAACGGAAGUUCCUGGAUGUAGCGGUGAAAUGACGCAGAUAUCAGGAGGAACACCGGGUGGGCGAAGGCGGUUCUCUGGGAAUGACCUGACGCUGAGGAGCGAAAGUGUGGGGAGCGAACAGG